GGCAGCCUGGCAUAGUGGUAUGAGUGUUGGCCUGGGAGAGCGGGAGACCUGGGUUCGAAUCCCUACUCGGCCA